AUCCCCUAAACACAACCGGGGGCUGGGAGCUAACCUCUAAGGCGCCCCCGCCCAAUAACAGCAGCCCCCCUCUGCUUAAAGUUGGUGUCCAAGAUUUCUCCGUCCCACCACUAACGCUCUGUGGUGCUUAUUAACGGCGACAAAACCAAAUUCGGUGAAAAAAAUUCUAAUCACACGGGGUCUCACUCCGAACUGACAACACAAAAACAGUUUUGGGUUUUUGGGGCGCCUCCCCUGUAACCGAAACGGGUUCUCAGGCCGCGCAACCAUUGUAAGUUCAGGGGGUAUGGAGUCGUAACUCGUAAUGAUCCUUUGUAGGUGAACCUGCGGAGGGAUCAUUACCGAGUUUACAACUCCCAAACCCCUGUGAACAUACCAAUUGUUGCCUCGGCGGAUCAGCCCGCUCCCGGUAAAACGGGACGGCCCGCCAGAGGACCCCUAAACUCUGUUUCUAUAUGUAACUUCUGAGUAAAACCAUAAAUAAAUCAAAACUUUCAACAACGGAUCUCUUGGUUCUGGCAUCGAUGAAGAACGCAGCAAAAUGCGAUAAGUAAUGUGAAUUGCAGAAUUCAGUGAAUCAUCGAAUCUUUGAACGCACAUUGCGCCCGCCAGUAUUCUGGCGGGCAUGCCUGUUCGAGCGUCAUUUCAACCCUCAAGCCCCCGGGUUUGGUGUUGGGGAUCGGCGAGCCCUUGCGGCAAGCCGGCCCCGAAAUCUAGUGGCGGUCUCGCUGCAGCUUCCAUUGCGUAGUAGUAAAACCCUCGCAACUGGUACGCGGCGCGGCCAAGCCGUUAAACCCCCAACUUCUGAAUGUUGACCUCGGAUCAGGUAGGAAUACCCGCUGAACUUAAGCAUAUCAAUAAGCGGAGGGCAA
rnacentral:rRNA from 1 species